rnacentral:lncRNA from 1 species
CUUGUGAAUUCUGCUUCUCCAGUAUUUGUGAUUGAGACCUGACCACAAGUACUCCUAAAGCCCAGAGAGUCCUUCUGCACAGAAUGAAACGUGAAAGCCAGGCUAUCACUGCCUACCGUUGUGCUACCACCCAAGUCUCUUCUACCUAAAACACAGAUUUACACAAAAAUGAGUUGGGAUGAGUAGACUAGGUACUUGUCUGGGGAUCAAAAAAGGGGAUCUUCUAUACAGCUACAUCUGUACAACUGUCUAGCCUGGAGCUCCUCCACUUCUGACAGGAGAAGGCCAUGGGGCUUUGGGCAACCUGGUCUAGUGGGAGGUGUCCCUGCCUGUGGCAGGGGGGCUGGAAUUUGAUGUCUUGAAGGUCCUUUCCACCCCAAGACAUGCUGUGAGUCUAUGAUUCUACGGUACUGGAGGACAGCGACGCUGAGCUGCAGCUAUGGAGCAGCAAGCACCUGUGUGCCUGGGCUACCUCACUGCUAGCCCUGCAGGACAGCUCUCAACAGAGAUGAUGACAGCUCUGUGCCCACCAGAUGAAGGGGAGCAGAUGGCUCCAGUACAGGGCCAGGCUAUGUUACUGCAGAGUUGCUGUUGGUUGCUGGAAAGAAGAUAUGACGGCCAUGCCUUCAGCAGCUAUCAGGUGCUUCUCAGAUGACACCUGGUGGACAAAAGACUACUGUGCAGAGCUGCAUCCUAGCCGAUAUCUGCACUGCUGCACUUACUGCUGGUGUCCUCGGUAUCCUGAUGUGUUAUUGCAGCACCUCAGAACAACCGAAUAUGCACAUAUCAUAUCUGUAUCUGCCACAGCUAUUUCUUUUUUCUUUUUUCUUUUUUUUUCAUAUUUGCAUUUUUUCAUAUUCUAUCUGAUGCUCAGAGUUGGUUUAAUUCUGACCACUGAGUAUGAGACUAUGCUAUCAGAUUAG